rnacentral:piRNA from 1 species
UUCACAGUGCAGGCAGCACAAA